GGGUAGCGCAUUACCGCCACCUUCUGAGUUGGAGUACGCAUUAUUAUGGCAUUUUCUGUGCAUUUUUAGCUCAAACGCCUGGGAAACAUACCUAAAUUCAAAUGAAAGCUGUUCUUCAACCAUUUGGAGUAUAUCUAAAAGCUUGGGCUCUUUGGAAAGGUACCACUCUGUAGUUUUCACCACAGCGCUCAGAUUUACAGUACUAAAUGGGUACCAACAAUUUUGUCCACGUCUGUAUCUUGGAAAUUAGAGGAGAUUUGAUUAAAGUCCAACGUGCUUUGGAAACCAGAGGAUACAAGAGGAGCAAGUCCGACAGUGCAACUGCGCAAACUAGAAGGAUGGAACAGCUUCAUGGAUCCGUUUGAGGAUUUAUGUUUUCUCUGCCUUUGGAAAGGAUAGAAAAACUAUUCUUAUCAGAGUCAAUAUACUGUCAGCAGUUGACGAGCUUCAAGGAUCAAAGAACUCAAUGACAUAUUCUGGGGUGAGGUGUGUCAACAUUUGGGAAUUGCCAGUAUAAAACUCCACAAAACAAGGCUUAAACGAGCCUAUUUUCGUCACAGAAAGAAUAAGAUUGCGAGUGCUUCUAGAGUUGCAGAACAAGAAGCAGGCAGCACCAGUAACGUCCAAUCUGAUGGAGGAAGCGAAGCUGAAGCUGAAGCUGAUGCUGGCAGCACCAGUAACGUCC